CUGUGCCUCUGAUGAUGCUAUCGAGAUGAGCCAGCGUGGAGCAGCCGUGCUGUUGGAGCGGGUCACUCAAGAAGCCCGUGCCAGCCUAAGGUUAUACAUGCAGGAUCAGACCCAGUGCUACAGAUACAGGGAGCUCUCAGUUGUACAGGCGGUUCAAGGAAAAGAGCUAGGAGAAAAAGCACUUGAGAAGUCUGCUAAACUCAGGUAAAAUUUUCUGUUACAAGAAGACUACAAGCUUCAGUUUUCAAAGUAUUGACGGAUUGGCUCAGCUUCGGACAGUUGGUGUGGCAAGAGACAGUGAGACCAAGCAUGAAGUCCUUCCUCAGGUUAAAAGUCUGAUCAGAUGCCUGCUCUACACGCAAAAUCAUCAAGUGACUGCAGCAAACGGUGCUCAGAACACAAAGCAGCGGCAGGCAGGCAGCAGCUAAAACAAGCCCCUACCGCCAGGGGAAGCAAACAGCGGGGCUGGGCUCUCCCACUGAUUUCCCCAGCCCUUACUUGAUGCGGGGAGGAUUAUUAAACCUUCUGUUUUCCUCUGAAGUGCUACGAAUAGAUCAGUAAAUCUAAAUAAUGAGGUGCACGCUGUUCCCUUCAGUGUGUGCAGCAGAUGACAAGCAGGGACCAAAACCCAGAAGGAAAAGCUAAGUGUGGCUGGAGGCUGUUGUGCCCACCACGGAGCUGCUUCCUGAAGCGUGUUGAGCAUGCUGCUUGUAAACAGCACGUUAUCUUUCUUGAUGAUCAACAAAGCAACCACAUUUGUGCAGCACUAAACCAUAGCCAGUUGUGGAACUGCCGCAGCUCACAGCCACUCUGGGAGGAGGAGCAGCAGCGUCAUCCUCUUGGAGAGAAGAAACUGUCUUCCUGAACUCGAAUUUGCUCAUGAGAUGAGCUGUGGGUUUAAGGAGAUGAGCCCUCUCCCACCUUGGUUUUUUUAACAGGAAAAAAUAGAGAAUACUCAUCCAUUUUUAUCUACUCAACACUAAAAGCCUCUGUAUUUCAUAAUAUCAUAGAAUAGUUUGGGUUGGGAGAGACCUUAAAGAUCAUCCGGUUCCAAACCCCCUGCCAUGGGCAGGGACACCUCCCACUGGCUCAGGCUGCCCAAGGCCCAUCCAACCUGGCCUGGAACACCUCCAGGGAUGGGCUAACCUGUGCCAGUGUCUCACCACUUUCAUGGUGAAGAAAUUCCUCCAUAUGUCUAGUCUAAAUCAGCCCCUCUACAGUUUAUACGUGCUCCGCCUCGUCUUAGCACUACAAUGUUGUUGGAUUGUCUUUUGCAUGUAGAAAAAGCAUUGAGAUCUCUGGCUUUUAUUCCUCAGUGUUGCCAGACAAACCUGGAAAAUGAAUUUUGCUUUGUCUAUUUUCAAUAGAGCAGUUUAACUUUACCCUAGACCAUACUUUUCCAGCUCAUUUUUGAAGUGGAGUGCUGUCCAAAAGAUCAGACUGUGGUGCAGAUCUCCCCUCCUGCGUUGGCUGCAAUGAUCGCUGGAGCACAAACCUCUCCAUCCUGUGGCUUCCAGACCCCCAACUGCCCUCCUCGCCACAACUUGACACCUUUGAGUUGCACUCACCCUCCUCCCUACCCAAGAAGUCUGGAGAAACAUCUGUCAGAGAAAAGACAGUUUGUCCAAAUUAUUCUAAUGGUUUGAUCGAAGCUCAUACUACAUUGCUCUGAAGUAAAAUAUGAUCCAUUAUCGUUAAAACUCCAAGCACUGCUGUUGAUUUGAUAAAAAUAAAGAAUGCAGAUGACUCUGAAGAUGCACUGUGGAGAGCAGUGUGAAAAGAAAAAGCACACAGAGGUGCUUUCAGAAAUAAGGAUGUUUGAAAGGAGUUUUUGGAGCAUCUGGAGAAGACUGAGACAUAUGAAAAGCAUCUAGACCAUAAAUAUUGAAACAAAACAUUCGAAGAGAAAUACAGCUGUGUAGUGUGUACCACCCAGUACGCAGAUGGUGCUGCUGCAGGAACAGGAGUGACAACUUAGGUCUACUUUGAUUGUCUAGCGGUCAGAAGUAGUUUUGUCCAUAACCCUGUGUAUGUGAAGCUCUCGGCGGCUUUGAA